rnacentral:rRNA from 1 species
UACGUAGGGUGCGAGCGUUGUCCGGAAUUAUUGGGCGUAAAGAGCUCGUAGGCGGUGUGUCACGUCGGCCGUGAAAACCUGCAGCUUAACUGUGGGCGUGCGGUCGAUACGGGGCAUCACUGGAGUUCGGCAGGGGAAACUGGAAUUCCUGGUGUAGCGGUGAAAUGCGCAGAUAUCAGGAGGAACACCGGUGGCGAAGGCGGGGUCUCUGGGGCCGAUACUGACGC